rnacentral:tRNA from 1 species
GCCGGUGUAGCUCAGUGGCAGAGCAGCGGUUUCGUAAACCGCAGGCCAAGAGUUCGACUCUCUUCACCGGCUCCA